GCUCUGUCCAUCACGAAGCCCGGUUGCCUUGAAAUAAUAGAGUUGAAGAUGCUCUUAAAAGAAACACUGGUAGUAGAGCACUAAAUACCAAGAACGAGGAAUCCCUUGAACAAAAUACACGGGCAAGCAACCAAGAACACGUACGGCCACACAGAGAAUGGCGAACAACGGCAGCGGCAGCCGCCGCGGGGACGACGGCGUGGGCGUGACCCCAUCCCGAUGGCGUUUCUUCCGGCCAUUGGUCGGCACGCCGCUGGCGGCCGCAGGGAGCAUGAGCAUCCGCUCGGUGCUCAACCGUCUCAACGCUUCCGUGGACGCUUCCGGGACGCGCCCCGUCGUGCCGCUCGGCCACGGCGACCCCACCUCCUCCGCCUGCUUCCGGACCGCGCCGGAGGCCGAGGACGCCGUCGUGGACGCGCUCCGCUCCAGGAAGCACAACGGCUACUCCCCCACCGUCGGUGUGCCCCAAGCACGCAGUGCUAUUGCAGAGUACCUAUCUCGAGACCUUCCUUAUGAGCUUUCACCAGAUGAUAUCUACCUGACCUCCGGAUGCGUGCAAGCCAUCGAGAUCAUGAUCUCUGUCCUUGCCCAGCCCGGGGCUAACAUCUUGCUCCCAAAACCCGGUUUUCCUAUGUACGAGUCACGGACCACAUUCAGCGAAUUAGAGGUUCGAUAUUUUCGACCUCGUCCCCGAAAGAGGCUGGGAGGCAGACCUUGAGUCUCUGAAGGCUAUCGCUGAUGAGAACACGGUUGCGAUGCUCAUCAUCAAUCCCAGUAACCCUUGUGGGAGUGUCUACUCACAUGAUCAUUUGGCCCAAAUUGCAGAAACCGCAGGAGAACUUGGCAUACUGAUAAUUGCUGAUGAGGUCUACGACCAUUUGGCAUUUGGGGAUAAGCCUUUUAUACCAAUGGGUGUUUUUGGCAAGACAGCCCCGGUCAUCACCUUGGGAGCUAUAUCAAAAAGAUGGCUUGUCCCUGGUUGGCGACUUGGCUGGAUCGCAACGUGUGACCCGAAUGGCAUAUUAAAGGAAACCAAGGUUGACCAAUCGAUUCAAAACUACAUUAACAUCACAAGUGAUCCUGCAACAUUUAUUCAGGGAGCAGUCCCUCAAAUUAUAGCCAACACAAAGGAAGAAUACUUCAACAAAAUUCUUGAUUUAUUGAGAACUUCGGCAGAUUUAUGUUACGGUAAAAUAAAGGGCAUCAGGGGCAUUACAUGUCCGCACAAACCGGAGGGAUCGAUGUUUGUGAUGGCUAAAUUAGACCUCUCUUGCUUGGAUGGCUUUUCUGAUGAUAUAGAUUUCUGCUGCAAGCUGGCAAAAGAAGAAUCUGUAAUAGUUUUACCAGGUAGUGCACUAGGAAUGAAGGAUUGGCUUCGCAUCACUUUCGCCAUUGACUUGGUAUCUCUUGAGGAUGGGCUUGAAAGGCUGAACUCUUUCUGCGAAAGGCAUGCUAAAGUAUAAGCCUAGGCUCAAAGAUGAUUGAGCUUUCACACUACUGUGGCGAAUGGCCAGCAACGCGUUGGAUCGCCAUUGUGUUGUUUUCAAUAAUCGCUUCUCUUUAUGUCACCAAAAUUAACAUAUUUAGCUUUCCACACAUAUAUUUUGUAUUCUGCCUGGUUGACUCGUACCAGUUUGUAAGUGGCGUACUAUUGGAGAAUCGUGUAAUUUGUAACCAUUAUUGACUAUGGAUGAUUUGAGGGUCAGUUUUUUCGGGCUUU